AAAAAGAUAAGCUAAAUAAGCUGGCGGGCUCAUACCUCGCUUAUGAGUAUAAUUCUCUUUUGA
rnacentral:tRNA from 1 species